rnacentral:rRNA from 1 species
AGAGUUUGAUCCUGGCUCAGAACGAACGCUGGCGGCAGGCCUAACACAUGCAAGUCGAACGCGUCCUUCGGGACGAGUGGCAGACGGGUGAGUAACGCGUGGGAACGUACCCUUUGGUUCGGAACAACAGCGGGAAACUGCUGCUAAUACCGGAUAAGCCCUUCGGGGGAAAGAUUUAUCGCCAGAGGAUCGGCCCGCGUUAGAUUAGCUUGUUGGUGAGGUAAUGGCUCACCAAGGCUACGAUCUAUAGCUGGUCUGAGAGGAUGAUCAGCCACACUGGGACUGAGACACGGCCCAGACUCUUACGGGAGGCAGCAGUGGGGAAUCUUGGACAAUGGGCGAAAGCCUGAUCCAGCCAUGCCGCGUGAAUGAUGAAGGCCCUAGGGUUGUAAAAUUCUUUCGACGGGGAAGAUAAUGACGGUACCCGUAGAAGAAGCUCCGGCUAACUUCGUG